GUCGAGCGAGCGGAACCACAGAUUUACUUCGGUAAUGACGUUGGGAAAGCGAGCGGCGGAUGGGUGAGUAACACGUGGGGAACCUGCCCCUAAGUCUGGGAUACCAUUUGGAAACAGGUGCUAAUACCGGAUAAUAAAGCAGAUCGCAUGAUCAGCUUUUGAAAGGCGGCGUAAGCUGUCGCUAAGGGAUGGCCCCGCGGUGCAUUAGCUAGUUGGUAAGGUAACGGCUUACCAAGGCGACGAUGCAUAGCCGAGUUGAGAGACUGAUCGGCCACAUCGGGACUGAGACACGGCCCAAACUCCUACGGGAGGCAGCAGUAGGGAAUCUUCCACAAUGGACGCAAGUCUGAUGGAGCAACGCCGCGUGAGUGAAGAAGGUUUUCGGAUCGUAAAGCUCUGUUGUUGGUGAAGAAGGAUAGAGGUAGUAACUGGCCUUUAUUUGACGGUAAUCAACCAGAAAGUCACGGCUAACUACGUGCCAGCAGCCGCGGUAAUACGUAGGUGGCAAGCGUUGUCCGGAUUUAUUGGGCGUAAAGCGAGCGCAGGCGGAAAAAUAAGUCUAAUGUGAAAGCCCUCGGCUUAACCGAGGAACUGCAUCGGAAACUGUUUUUCUUGAGUGCAGAAGAGGAGAGUGGAACUCCAUGUGUAGCGGUGGAAUGCGUAGAUAUAUGGAAGAACACCAGUGGCGAAGGCGGCUCUCUGGUCUGCAACUGACGCUGAGGCUCGAAAGCAUGGGUAGCGAACAGGAUUAGAUACCCUGGUAGUCCAUGCCGUAAACGAUGAGUGCUAAGUGUUGGGAGGUUUCCGCCUCUCAGUGCUGCAGCUAACGCAUUAAG
rnacentral:rRNA from 1 species